GACGAACGCUGGCGGCGUGCUUAACACAUGCAAGUCGAACGAAGAGCGAUGGAAGCUUGCCUCUAUCAAUCUUAGUGGCGAACGGGUGAGUAACGCGUAAUCAACCUGCCCUUCAGAGGGGGACAACAGUUGGAAACGACUGCUAAUACCGCAUACGAUCUAAUCUCGGCAUCGAGGAAAGAAGAAAGGUGGCCCUUAUUCAUAAGCUAUCAUUGAAGGAGGGGUUUGCGUCUGAUUAGCUAGUUGGAGGGGUAAGGGCCCACCAAGGCGAUGAUCAGUAGCCGGUCUGAGAGGAUGAACGGCCACAUUGGGACUGAGACACGGCCCAGACUCCUACGGGAGGCAGCAGUGGGGAAUCUUCCGCAAUGGACGAAAGUCUGACGGAGCAACGCCGCGUUGGUGAUGACGGCCUUCCGGUUGGAAAGCUCUGUUAAUCGGGACGAAAGGCCUUCCUGCGAACAGUUAGAAGGAUUGACGGUACCGGAAUAGAAAGCCACGGCUAACUACGUG
rnacentral:rRNA from 1 species